ensembl:lncRNA LINC01491 long intergenic non-protein coding RNA 1491
GUUCACACUCAGGCCUGUGACCACAGAAAAAGUAGCCAGCCCACCAUCCCUAGAUGAUUUUGCAGUCUUUGCACACCAGUGUGGCCAUAGGCUUGUUUUCUCCUGGACUGAGCCUGCAGAUCCUAUGAGCAAGCAUAUGUCCUGUGCUCCACUAGUCCUAGCUGGAUCGUGGACAUAUUACCAUCAUUACAAAUAUCAAUAGUUUGUGAUUACUUCAAACAAUCUGAAGUUGAAGGACCCCAGAUAUCCUUCAAAACAGGAAUCUGCAGGCAGAUGCUGAAACCAUGAAUACAGAGGGACAACUAUGUAAGCUCGUUAGCUCCGGCCCUGAACGCAGGAGAGUUGCUAAAGAAGUUGCUCACAGAGGCGGGAGAGAGCAGGCUACUGGUUUCCUUCAAAAUGGAAUAGGAAACAGAAAACGUGCAUCAUUUCUUCGCACUUGAAUCAGCAACAUGACACAGGACUUUGGCAUCAGACUACUAUCACACCAAAAAAAGAGGCUUCACUUGGAGUGCUGCCACUGGAUGGGGCCUGACUUGUUUAUCCGGAAAGAAGUGACUUCCCUGGGAAGAAGGUUGCAUUUGUGAAAGCUUGUGCAGCAUUUCAAGGCUGCAUUCAGGGGCUCUGACCUCCAGUGUCAGCCUUCCAAGGAGAGAAUGGUAGUGUAAUCAUGACUGGAGAGCAACUGUUCCAGAUAAGAAUAUUUUGGCAGAUUUUAAAAGCAACUAUUACUGGUGUUGAUUGACUUAAAAAUAUUUUAAAAAUAUAACAUGUUAUAAACCUCUUCAAUAUCAAGAGGCAGGAUAUAA